AAUUCAAAUAGGAAUAAGGGCUAAAAAGGAAAAAGAUGAUGUCAAAGAUUCAUGCGGUGUAGAUAAAAUAGGAGACUUUGUAGCUUUACUCUUUCUCCAAACAUGAGAAAAUCUAUUCUAAGGCUGGUCCUUCCGCAUGCACCCCACAUCGUGACAUGGCGAACCUGAUCUAACUGCCAUGUCACAGUUUCUCAUUCACGUAUGAAAACCAUCUCUCUCCCCAUCCCCCCAAAUCGAGCAGUAGCAAAAACACGAUUCCUCUCCUCUCAAACCUACUUUGCUCCUCUCAGCUUCCUCAUAGAAAACCUUAACCUUCGUCAAUGGGUGGAAUCAUAGUCUUACUUUCCGAAUUGAUGGUGAACCAUUAUGCUCCAAUAAAUUUCAAAUCACAGAAAACCCAGGUCGUAUAGAAUCGCAGUCAUAGACCCAUGCUCCUCUCAUUUCUGAAUUGCAUAAAACCUUCCUCUCCUUCAUAAGCCUUGAAUCGUAGUCACAAACCCAUUCUGAGACCCAUUCUACUCCUUUCACUUCCAAAUCACAAAAAUACCCUUCCCAUUAUGCUCCUCUCACUCCCCGAAUCGCAGAAAAGAGAAAACCUUCGUCCCUAUUGGUGCGUUUCUUCUACUCCACGACGGUAAGGGAGAAGCAAAGUGCCAAUUCUUCUUAUGGACAAAUAUAUUUCAAUUGGUAGAGGAUAAAAUUAGCACAAGAGAGAAUGCAGUUCGAAAAAGGGAGAACGAUGUACUGCUGCGUGAGUACAAAGUUCAAAAAAAUGAAGAUAAACUAGUUGAGAGAAAGAAUGUUCUUUACAAGCAAGAUGAGAAAAUUGUGAAGCAGGUCGUACAGAAUAGAUGUAUUCGCAUAUCUUUGUGUAUGAAUUGGGUGUUAUCAAUUGUAAUAAUUUUUUGUUGGCUUGGACCAUAAAUAUAUUUUGGUUGAAGUUAGUUAGAAAUGGAUAGUUCAGAUUAAAAUA